AGAGGAAAGUAAAAGUCGUAACAAGGUUUCCGUAGGUGAACCUGCGGAAGGAUCAUUACCGAAUUGUCAACACGAGUUGUUGCUGGUCCUCAAAUGGGGGCAUGUGCACGCUCUGUUUGCACAUCCACUCACACCUGUGCACCCUCCGUAGUUCUGCAGCCUGGGGGCUCUCCCCCCCCACUGUGGUUCUAUGUAUUUACACACACACACUGUAAUAAAGUCUCAUGGAAUGUAUGCCGCGUUUAACGCAAUACAAUACAACUUUCAGCAACGGAUCUCUUGGCUCUCGCAUCGAUGAAGAACGCAGCGAAAUGCGAUAAGUAAUGUGAAUUGCAGAAUUCAGUGAAUCAUCGAAUCUUUGAACGCACCUUGCACCCUUUGGCUAUUCCGAAGGGUAUGCCUGUUUGAGUAUCAUGAACACCUCAACUCUCAUGGUUUGCCAUGAUGAUCUUGGACUUUGGGGGUCUUGCUGGCCUGUGGUCAGCUCCUCUCAAAUGGAUUAGCUUGCCAGUGUUUGGUGGCAUCACAGGUGUGAUAACUAUCUACGCUUGUGGUUUUCCACCAGGUAACCUUCAGCAAUGGGGGUUCGCUGGCGCUCAUAAAUGUCUCUCCUCAGUGAGGACAGCUCUUUGAACGUUUGAUCUCAAAUCAGGUAGGACUACCCGCUGAACUUAAGCAUAUCAAUAAGCGGAGGA
rnacentral:rRNA from 1 species